rnacentral:snRNA from 1 species
UUGCUUCAGUAGCACAUGUACUUAAGUCGGAACAAUAGAGAGUUUGGCAUGGCCUCUGUGAAAGAAUGACAUGCAAAUUUGUGAAGCAUUCCAUAUUUUU